rnacentral:rRNA from 1 species
AGUGAACGCUGGCGGUAGGCCUAACACAUGCAAGUCGAACGGCAGCACAGUAAGAGCUUGCUCUUACGGGUGGCGAGUGGCGGACGGGUGAGGAAUACAUCGGAAUCUACUUUUUCGUGGGGGAUAACGUAGGGAAAGUUACGCUAAUACCGCAUACGACCUACGGGUGAAAGCAGGGGAUCUUCGGACCUUGCGCGAUUGAAUGAGCCGAUGUCGGAUUAGCUAGUUGGCGGGGUAAAGGCCCACCAAGGCGACGAUCCGUAGCUGGUCUGAGAGGAUGAUCAGCCACACUGGAACUGAGACACGGUCCAGACUCCUACGGGAGGCAGCAGUGGGGAAUAUUGGACAAUGGGCGCAAGCCUGAUCCAGCCAUACCGCGUGGGUUAAGAAGGCCUUCGGGUUGUAAAGCCCUUUUGUUGGGAAAGAAAAGCAGCAGGUUAAUACCCCGCUGUUCUGACGGUACCCAAAGAAUAAGCACCGGCUAACUUCGUG